rnacentral:rRNA from 1 species
UACGGAGGGUGCGAGCGUUAAUCGGAAUUACUGGGCGUAAAGCGCACGCAGGCGGUUUGUUAAGCAAGAUGUGAAAGCCCCGGGCUCAACCUGGGAACUGCAUUUUGAACUGGCAGACUAGAGUCUUGGAGAGGGGGGUGGAAUUCCAGGUGUAGCGGUGAAAUGCGUAGAGAUCUGGAGGAACAUCAGUGGCGAAGGCGGCCCCUGGCCAAAGCACUGACGCUCAUGUGCGAAAGUGUGGGUAGCGAACAGGAUUAGACUACCCCGUAGUCC